GACGAACGCUGGCGGCGUGCUUAACACAUGCAAGUCGAACGGUAAGGCCUUUCGGGGUACACGAGUGGCGAACGGGUGAGUAACACGUGGGUGAUCUGCCCUGCACUUCGGGAUAAGCCCGGGAAACUGGGUCUAAUACCGGAUAGGAUUGCGCGGUGCAUGCCGUGUGGUGGAAAGAUUUAUCGGUGCAGGAUGGGCCCGCGGCCUAUCAGCUUGUUGGUGGGGUAAUGGCCUACCAAGGCGACGACGGGUAGCCGGCCUGAGAGGGCGACCGGCCACACUGGGACUGAGACACGGCCCAGACUCCUACGGGAGGCAGCAGUGGGGAAUAUUGCACAAUGGGCGCAAGCCUGAUGCAGCGACGCCGCGUGAGGGAUGACGGCCUUCGGGUUGUAAACCUCUUUCAGCAGGGACGAAGCGUGAGUGACGGUACCUGCAGAAGAAGCACCGGCCAACUACGUG
rnacentral:rRNA from 1 species